rnacentral:rRNA from 1 species
CACGGGGGGAGCAAGCGUUGUUCGGAAUCACUGGGCGUAAAGGGCGUGUAGGCGGUCAGGUAAGUGGAAUGUGAAAGCCCUCGGCUCACCCGAGGAUCGGCAUCCCAAACUGCCUGGCUUGAGUAUGGGAGAGGACAGGGGAAUUCCUGGUGUAGCGGUGAAAUGCGUAGAUAUCAGGAGGAACACCAGUGGCGAAGGCGAGUCCCUGGACAACUCCUGACACUGAGGCACGAAAGCUAGGGGAGCAAACAGG